UUAUAGUUAAUGAGCUUGAUAAAGCUUAUAUUUUGAAAAUAUAAUAUAGAAAUAAAAUUUUCUAUUA
rnacentral:tRNA from 1 species